rnacentral:rRNA from 1 species
UAGGGAAUCUUCCACAAUGGACGCAAGUCUGAUGGAGCAACGCCGCGUGAGUGAAGAAGGUUUUCGGACCGUAAAGCUCUGUUGUUGGUGAAGAAGGAUAGAGGUAGUAACUGGCCUUUAUUUGACGGUAAUCAACCAGAAAGUCACGGCUAACUACGUGCCAGCAGCCGCGGUAAUACGUAGGUGGCAAGCGUUGUCCGGAUUUAUUGGGCGUAAGGCGAGCGCAGGCGGAAGAAUAAGUCUGAUGUGAAAGCCCUCGGCUUAACCGAGGAAUUGCAUCGGAAACUGUUUUUCUUGAGUGCAGAAGAGGAGAGUAGAACUCCAUGUGUAGCGGUGGAAUGCGUAGAUAUAUGGAAGAAUACCAGUGGCGAAGGCGGCUCUCUGGUCUGCAACUGACGCUGAGGCUCGAAAGCAUGGGUAGCGAACAGGAUUAGAUACCCUGGUAGUCCAUGCCAUAAACGAUGAGUGCUAAGUGUUGGGAGGCUUCCGCCUCUCAGUGCUGCAGCUAACGCAUUAAGCACUCCGCCUGGGGGAGUACGACCGCAAGGUUGAAAC